GCAGUUUCCACGUGCAUUGUCUGGCCCUGUUUAUCCGGAUGAUGCAAAUGCAGGAGUUCCUUCUGCCAGCAAAGCAGGCAAGGAAGCCAAAUGACAUUUCUGAUGUUUGAUGGCAGUCUGUAGUUCCUAUUUACACACUUUAAAAUCACAGAGGGUGACCAUCUGCUUCCUUCUUGAUGAUUACGAAGAAACAUGGGUGUACAGACCAAGGACGCGCUCUGACCAUUCAGAAAACACCACCAAACUGCUCUGCCUGCCACCGCACAAAGGAGUGAGAGACCCACACAGAAUACAAAACAGGACUGCCCAGUGCAGAGAAGGAGGAAAGGUAUUCAGACAGACGGGCUCUGAGUGACCCAGGCUUACAGGAGGCCCAUCUGUCCCCAGCCUUCACCGCCCCAGGAGGAGAGUCAGGGAGCAGCCAGGCUACAGGGAUGGAACGAACGAAUGCAUCUCCUCCUUGCAAACAGUUUAAUCCUAAAAGCAAGGGUGGGGGAAGCUAGGAUGAAUUUUCUUUUCCUUUUAGUCUUUGGCUUUUCACACGUCCCUUCUCCGAGGAUAACUCGGUCUGCACCACCCACCUGCCUCUCCCUGGCAGUCUGACCCGUGCCCCUAGCACUUAACCUGGCCCCAGGGCUCCACGGUGGCUCUGCAGAUACACAAAGCGUCCUUCUCUCAUCCCUCUUGGAAGAGCCGGUGGAAGCUGCACUGUGGGGCGGAAUACAAAUGAAGGCACUGCAAUGGAGGGGUACCAACUCACAUCUGGGAGGCUUGAGAGGUCACGGCACACUGUGUGGGAAUUGCAGCACUGUUGUUGACAGAGAACAAGAAACGCAUGUGCGGACGAGGGCAGAGGGACGGCAUCCUACGGCGAGAUCAGCCUUGAUCUGCCACUGGAUUACAGGGGCCUCAGAAGAGGCUGAUUAAUAAUUCCGUAGGAGCCCUUGAGCUGGAAAGCUGGCGUUCUGAGUCUGAUAAUCCCCGGUCGCUGCCAUACAAAGGAAGGGCAGGAAUUGAAUUCACAGUUCUGAAUUGUGAAAUUCAAAAUGUGAAAGAAACAGGGAUCCACUUCUUCCUGAAUGUGUUUGUCAACCUAGCUGCCUGCUUGUUUGUGUUAAAUGGCUACUGUGCUUUUUGAAUCCAAAAUCUGAUUGUAUUUAAUUAGUACAGGCAUCUGGGAUUUCUAAUACACAAAGAGUUAUUAAAGUAACAAAUCUUUCUAAAAUAUGUUCUCCAUGAAAGAAUGUGUUAAUUUAUGCAGUAACAAUUUUUUAACAUGAAAUAAUUAACAUGAAAGCUGCAACAAUUAUGAAUUCUUUGCAGUCUAAUUUAUAGGUGAAUUUUUCUCCAGAUAAUAAUCUAUUCAACUUAAACCCUCAAACUGGGAGCAUUUGAACAGAUACAUUUUUCUUCUUCUACUUAGUGCACAAACCUAAACCUAUAGCAGGUUUUACACAAAGUCCUUAAAUGCCCCUGUUUCUACUAUAUACAUUCUGAAGACCCCAAAAUUAAAUUUCCUUGACAUCUGCUUUCUCAACAGUGAUCCUGUCAUUAACUUAGACAUUAAAAAAAAAAAAAAAAAAAAAAAAAACCAACCCCAGAUUAACCCAAAACACAG